rnacentral:rRNA from 1 species
GAUGAACGCUAGCGGCAGGCUUAAUACAUGCAAGUCGAGGGGUCAGCAAUGACACCGGCGGACGGGUGCGUAACGCGUAUGCAACCUACCUACAUCAGGGGGAUAGCCCUAGGAAACUGGGAUUAACACCGCAUAAUAUUAUUAAUGGCAUCAUUGAUAAUUGAAAUAUUUAUAGGAAGUAGAUGGGCAUGCGUAAGAUUAGCUAGUUGGUAAGGUAACGGCUUACCAAGGCUACGAUCUUUAGGGGCUCUGAGAGGAGUAUCCCCCACACUGGCACUGAGAUACGGGCCAGACUCCUACGGGAGGCAGCAGUAGGGAAUAUUGGGCAAUGGAGGCAACUCUGACCCAGCCAUGCCGCGUGCAGGAAGACGGCCCUCUGGGUUGUAAACUGCUUUUGAAUGGGAAGAAUGUGUGGCUUGCGAGCUAUAAUGACGGUACCAUUAGAAUAAGCCACGGCUAACUACGUGCCAGCAGCCGCGGUAAAACGUCG